UGACAUAAUGAGGCUGGAGGCAGAGUGAGGUAGAGAAAGGUAGAUUAUGGUAGUCUGAGGUAGAAAAUGUAGUAAAGCGAUGGUAGAUUGAGGUAAGUUGAGUUAGAGAGAAGAUAGAUUGAGGUAGAGUGAUGGUAGAUUAAGGUAACAUGAGUUAGAACAAGGGUAGAUUGAGGUAAAGGGAUGGUUGAUUGAGGUAGAGUGAGUUAGAGCGAUGUUAGAUUGAGUUAGAGCGAUGUUAGAUUGAGGUAGAGAGAUUGAAGAUUGAGGUAGAGCGAUAGAAGACUGAGGUAGAGCGAUGGAAGAUUGAGGUAGAGCGAUGAUAGAUUGAGGUAGAGAGAUGGAAGAUUGAGGUAGAGCGAUAGUAGAUUGAGGUAGAGCGAUGGAAUGUUGAGGUAGAGCGAUAGUAGAUUGAGGUAUAGUGAUGUUAGAUUGAGGUAGAGCGAUGAUAGAUUGAGGUAUUGUGAUUUUAGAUUGAGGUAGAGUGAUGUUAGAUUGAGGUAGAGUGAUGGAAGAUUGAGGUAGAGCGAUAGAAGACUGAGGUAGAGCGUUGGAAGAUUGAGGUAGAGCGUUGGAAGAUUGAGGUACAGUGAUGAUAGAUUGAGGUAGAGUGAUAGUAGAUUGAGGUAGAGCGAUGGAAGGUUGAGGUAGAGCGAUAGUAGAUUGAGGUAUAGUGAUGUUAGAUUGAGGUAGAGCGAUGGAAGAUUGAGGUAGAGCGUUGGAAGAUUGAGGUAGAGAGAUGGAAGAUUGAGGUAUAGUGAUGUUAGAUUGAGGUAGAACGUUGGAAGAUUGAGGUAGAGCGUUGGAAGAUUGAGGUAGAGAGAUGGAAGAUUGGGGUAGAGUGAUGAUAGAUUGAGGUAGAGCGAUGAAAGAUUGAGGUAGAGCGAUGGUAGAUUGAAGUAGAGCGAUAGAAGAUUGAGGUAGAGUGAUGUUAAAUUUAGGUAGAGAGAUGGAAGAUUGAGGUAGAGAGAUGGAAGAUUGAGGUAGAGCGUUGGAAGAUUGAGGUAGAGUGAUGGUAGAUUGAGGUAGAGUGAUGAUAGAUUGAGGUAGAGUGAUAGAAGAUUGAGGUAGAGUGAAGGAAGAUUGAGGUAGAGUGAUGGAAGAUUGAGGUA